rnacentral:rRNA from 1 species
ACAGAGACCUCAAGCGUUAUCCGGAAUCAUUGGGCGUAAAGCGUACCGAUAGGUGGUUUAGAAAGUCAGAAGUGAAAUCUCUCAGCUUAACUGGGAGACUGUCUUUUGAAACUUCUAAACUAGAGGGGCAAAGAGGAAGCUGGAACGAACGGUGUAGUAGUGAAAUGCGUUGAUAUCGUUCGGAACACCAAUAGCGUAGGCAAGCUUCUGGGUGCCACCUGACACUGCUAGGACGAAAGCGUGGGGAGCGAAUGGGA